rnacentral:lncRNA from 1 species
GCAGGAUGGACGCGUUGGCUGUCAUGAUGUAGGACCUCCUGACCUAGAACCAUGCCCGGCGCAGGGAGAACAACGAGCUUACGGACCGGGUGCGGGGGCUGCUGUGCGAGAAAGCCUACCUGCUGGCCCGGGAGCGUUCGCCGGCCCACCUGGUGGCUUUCCCUGGACGUUUAACGGCGACUCCGCCCGGCCUCCCGACUUUUUGAUGCAGGCGUUCUCUUACAUGACUUUCUUCGAGGCUAGAUUCUCGAAAGACAUCCUGAAGGUGGCUUUCUUAAUUAGCUGCCUCACCGGCUGGCGGAGCAGUUCGUAGUCGCCUACAUCGAGAGGGAGAGCCCCGUCCUGGCUCAGUACUGGGGCUUCGUGGACGCGCUGUAGCGGGUCUUCGCCGUCGUGGGUAGGAAACAGUCGGGCCGGAUCCCCGGUGUCUGGGGAGCGGCUGCCGGCCGGGCCCGCGCGAGCCGCUUCACUCCUACAAGCCCGGCUCACUAGUUCCAAGCUGCUGGACUUUGACCCUCGCUGGGAAGCUUGAUCGCCGCCUGUUCUCGCCAAUCUCUAUGCCUUUGCACUGCCCAGCAACCCGGUCACUGCCCAGGACCUGUUAAAAGUUGAAUGGACCUCCCAGAAUCACGCCGCUGCCACCGCCGUUUCUAGAGACGGCUUUUGGCCACCUUUGAGAAUCAGGGUCAAACUUGGAAGGGCCUGCAUUUGUCACACUUCCUCGGACACUAAUUUGGAUAGUUCAGGCCCAGAGACGGCUUCCCGGGUUAGUGUGCCUGACAACACUGAAGAAAAAUUGUGACAUUUUCCUUCCCCAGAAUUACUUCGUUUUAUACAUUUCACUUCUCUUCUGAAAUCACAGCAAUGCCAGUUUGCGCCUUUUGGUCUGAGGAACGCAGGCCCUGGCCACUACCAGGAAAAAGUAUUUACUUUUAAAACUUGAAUGUAUAUCUUUACCGUAUGCCUAGUACAGUAGUGCUUGGAAGAAACAGAUUAGUAAGACAAAAUAUAUGUCUUCAAGAACACUUACGUUCUGAGAAAGAAUUCUGAAUGCAGAUUCUAAUGUCUGAACCUUCUGGAUUUCAGCUUUGGCAAGCUUCCUCUGUUUCUGAGACACCUCCAUCACCUGGGUUACAAUCCCAUCCAUGAUUUUCCCCAUCUCCAGGCAUUUUUCAUGGAAAGCUCCUCAUGCUUUUUAAUUCCAGUUUAUCCAUUUGUGUGGCUUUAACCUCCACAUCCAGGUCUUUCUGGCUAAACUGCAGUAUAUCCACAAUGGGGCCAAUGGACACAUAAGGGAGGCCCUAUCACAGGAACACGAACACCCGGAGUCGCUAGAAAUCAGAUUCCACCGGCUUUGCUUCAGGCCGACUUCCUAAGGAAGAUCCUUUGCACAUGGCCUGCUAUCAACAAUCCUCUACAAUGAUUCUCAGCAUCACCUAGGGAGCUUAUGUAAAAUCUCAAAUUCCUGGGCCCUAUCCCCAGAGUUUCUUAUCAAUUUCCUUGAUGGAGAACUAUCAAAGCAGUCAAAGCUAUCAAAAUAAAAAAGAAUUCUGAUUGGGUGCAGUGGCUCACACCUGUCAUUCCAGCACUUUGAGAGGCCAAGGUGGGCAGAUCACAUGAGGCCAGGAGUUCAAGACCAGCCUGGCCAACAUGGCAGAAACCCCAUCUCUACUAAAAAUACCAAAAUUAGCCGGGCAUGGUGGAACACACCUGCAAUCCCAGCUACUCGGGAGGCUGAGGCAAGAGAAUCGCUUGAACCUGGGAGGCAGAAGUUGCAGUGAAACAAGUUGGUGCCAAUGCAUUCCAGCCUGGA